rnacentral:rRNA from 1 species
AACGAACGCUGGCGGCAGGCUUAACACAUGCAAGUCGAACGCCCCGCAAGGGGAGUGGCAGACGGGUGAGUAACGCGUGGGAACGUGCCCUUCGCUUCGGAAUAGCCCCGGGAAACUGGGAGUAAUACCGAAUACGCCGUAUUGGGAAAGAUUUAUCGGCGAAGGAUCGGCCCGCGUUAGAUUAGCUAGUUGGCGGUGUAAUGGACCACCAAGGCUACGAUCUAUAGCUGGUCUGAGAGGAUGAUCAGCCACACUGGGACUGAGACACGGCCCAGACUCCUACGGGAGGCAGCAGUGGGGAAUAUUGGACAAUGGGCGCAAGCCUGAUCCAGCCAUGCCGCGUGAGUGAUGAAGGCCCUAGGGUUGUAAGGCUCUUUCACCGGUGAAGAUAAUGACGGUAACCGGAGAAGAAGCCCCGGCUAACUUCGUGCCAGCCGCCGCAGUAAUAC